rnacentral:rRNA from 1 species
AUUGAACGCUGGCGGCAGGCCUAACACAUGCAAGUCGAACGAGUGGCGGACGGGUUAGUAAUGUCUGGGAAACUGCCUGAUGGCUGGGGAUAACUACUGGAAACGGUAGCUCAUACCGCAUACCAUCAGAUGUGCCCAGGUGGGAUUAGCUUGUUGGUGGGGUAACGGCUCACAAAGGCGACGAUCCCUAGCUGGUCUGAGAGGAUGACCAGCCACAAUGGAACUGAGACACGGUCCAGACGCCUACGGGAGGAAGCAGUGGGGAAUAUUGAACAAUGGGCGAAAGCCUGAUGCAGCCAUGCCGAGUGGAUGAAGAAGGCCUUCGGGUUGUAAAGUACUUUCAGCGGGGAGGCGUUACCCGCAGAAGAAGCACCGGCUAACUCCGUGCCAGCAGCCGCGGUAAUUC